GACGAACGCUGGCGGCGUGGAUUAGGCAUGCAAGUCGAACGGUAUCAUCCUUUCGGGGGUGAGAGAGUGGCGAACUGGUGAGUAACACGUAGGUUAUCUACCCUCAAGACGGGGACAACCCAGGGAAACUUGGGCUAAUACCGGAUGUGAGCAACUUUUAGUUGUUUGAAAGGUGGCGUAAGCUGUCGCUUGGGGAUGAGCCUGCGUCCUAUUAGUUAGUUGGUGAGGUAACGGCUCACCUAGGCAAUGAUAGGUAGGCGGCCUUAACGGGUGGUCGCCCACACUGGGAUUGAGAUACGGCCCAGACUCCUACGGGAGGCAGCAGUCGAGAAUAGUCUACAAUGGUCGGAAGACUGAUAGUGCGACGCCGCGUGAACGAUGAAUCCCUUCGGGGUGUAAAGUUCUUUUAUAUGUGAGCAGUGCUUCUUAUAUUAACAGUAUGGGGAGAAGAUAUUAGCAUAUGAAUAAGCAAGGCUAACUCCGUGCCAGCAGCCGGGUAAUACG
rnacentral:rRNA from 1 species